ACAACUUUCAACAAUGGAUCUCUUGGCUCUGGCAUCGAUGAAGAACGCAGCGAAAUGCGAUAAGUAGUGUGAAUUGCAGAAUUCAGUGAAUCAUCGAAUCUUUGAACGCACAUUGCGCCCCUUGGUAUUCCGUGGGGCAUGCCUGUUCGAGCGUCAUC
rnacentral:rRNA from 1 species